rnacentral:rRNA from 1 species
UACAGAGGGUGCAAGCGUUGUUCGGAAUUAUUGGGCGUAAAGAGCUCGUAGGCGGUUUGUCGCGUCGGCCGUGAAAUCUCCACGCUUAACGUGGAGCGUGCGGUCGAUACGGGCAGACUUGAGUUCGGUAGGGGAGACUGGAAUUCCUGGUGUAGCGGUGAAAUGCGCAGAUAUCAGGAGGAACACCGGUGGCGAAGGCGGGUCUCUGGGCCGAUACUGACGCUGAGGAGCGAAAGCGUGGGGAGCGAACAGG